rnacentral:rRNA from 1 species
UACGUAGGGUGCAAGCGUUAUCCGGAAUUAUUGGGCGUAAAGAGCUCGUAGGCGGUCUGUCGCGUCUGCUGUGAAAACUCAGGGCUUAACCCUGAGCUUGCAGUGGGUACGGGCAGACUAGAGUGCGGUAGGGGAGACUGGAAUUCCUGGUGUAGCGGUGAAAUGCGCAGAUAUCAGGAGGAACACCGGUGGCGAAGGCGGGUCUCUGGGCCGUAACUGACGCUGGAGGAGCGAAAAGCAUGGGGAGCGAACAGG